rnacentral:lncRNA from 13 species
CUUCUGUUAAUAAUACAACUGUUGGUUUUACAAUUCCAGCUCCUGUUUCUGCUGGGAGGACAAUUUGGAGUUAAUUGGAAAAUGAGAUUGUGAGAACCAUUACUGGGAGUACAGAAAGAAAAGCUACCAGAUCUGAUGGUUUCAUAGGGGCAUUCCCCAUUUGCUGGGCACUCACUUCACUCUCCUGCUGCCAUGUGAAGAAGGAUGUGUUUGCUUUCCCUUCCACCAUGAUUGUAAGUUUCCUGAGGCCUCACCACCAAUGAAAAACUGAGUGAAUUUUUUUACAUAAAUUAUUCUGUCUCAGGUGUAUCUUUACUAGCAAUGUGAGAAAGGACUAAUAUACCUGUGAUCACAAAUGAUUUUCUAUUAUGUUUUCUUAGAGCUUUUUCAAGUUUUAACAUUUUUAUUUAGGUAUAUGAUCAUUC